GAUCGGUUUUCACACUCCCUCUUUACCAAUUUCAUUCUUCUCCCUCCCACACCUCUUUUCCCUAAUUUCAAUCUCCCUCCAUCAUCUCCAAAACCCUAAAACGAAAAUACUUCCUCAAUCUCAGUUUCCCCCCCAAAUCUGAAACCUAAAUUUCAAUCUCACUAACCCUAAUGGCUCAAUCUCACUAACGAAAUCUUCACUCAAUCGGUUCCUCACUCAUGGCAUAAAUCGAAGCACCUUCACUGUUCAUCAUCUUCUUUCCAUCGCUGCUUCCAUCACCAAUCGCUACUUCCAUCAUUAAUCGCUACUUCCAUCGUUUGAUGCACCAAUCGAUAUCUUUCUUUUCUCUCUCAACUCCUCUAUCAUCUUUUCUAAUGGAUGGAAUCAGUUUAACUGAUAGCGACGGUUCAAGAAGACCGAACAUAUGACGACGACAAUGAUGAUGAUGAGGACGAGGACGAGGAGACGGAUGAUGAUCAUAACGAGUAAUUUAUAUUCUUUUCAAUUGCUGUUUUUUGGUUAGGGAUUUUUGGGUGUUUUAGGUGGUUACUGUCAAAGAAAAUAUUGAACUUGCAUAUAUGAAUUUUGUUUUAUGUAAUUAUUUAUCAACAUGACAUGUUUUGUAGGAAACAAAUUAUCAAAAAAUUUGGGUUAUUUUCAAA